GCUGUGUUCUUAGAGUCGUUGGUUCGACUGUCAUGUUUCGGCCACCUAUUUUUUUUAGAGGUAAAUGUUUCAGCCAACUAUGAUCCUCUGUUUCUUCUAUAUCACACAUGUAAUUAACAAAGAUAUAUUAUAGCUACCACAUCAACUUAACAGCAACUGAAUCAAUAUUCCUAAAGAUGAUUGAGUAUUAAGUCCAAACUACAUCC
rnacentral:lncRNA from 1 species